UUUAACUUUAACUUUGUUUAACUUUUUAACAUCUAAUAUUUGUUGUCUUAUUUCUCUUUUCAGAGUUUAGCUCCAACCCCAAUUAAGCAGACCUGAGCAGCUGAUCAAGGAUCACCAGAAACUUUGCAGAACGUUGGUCCUCCAUGCCCAGGACUGGACACCAGUGUUCUAAAUAAAACCAAAGGCCAUUCAGCCACAGGUCACUGCAUCUUUUGCUGUAUGCUGG
rnacentral:lncRNA from 1 species